rnacentral:lncRNA from 1 species
GCGAAUAUUAUUUGAUUUGGUUCGACCCUUCUCCCAAGUAAACCACUGCCCAUGAUAUCUUAGAUCAGAAAGAGAGCAAUAGGAAAACAUCUCCUAAAACCUUUGCAUUUGACUUUUACGUCAGAUUAAACCUCAUUAUUUCUCGGAUGUAUAUGCGAACUCAUUGAAAUCCCCUAUGACUAACCAAGGGAUUUGUGGGAAAUCAUUAAGAGAAUGUAAAAAAUUCCAAGAAGCCUCCCUUUGACUUUCUUCAAGAGCUCCAUAAAAUCUAGUGCACCUCCAUUUCAUUCCAUUCGAGUCUUCAUCAAUCAUAAUAUCUAUAUGCCUUCAUGAAUACGGUUUGAACGACACCUUACAAUCAUUUUUCCAUCCCAUAGAUAAUCCACCUCUUCUCUUAUUCGAGUCAAUAUCAAUUCCAUUCUGAAAGCCACACUUCCUCCUAAUCUUUGCCAUACAAGAACCCUAUAGUUUAGUUUCAAUCAAGAAAACUAUAGAGGGAUUUGAGUCCCUCAACAUAUGCUAGAGAUGUUGAACUAUCUGGGGUCUCUCCAAACCUCGAAUGUUUCAACUUACAAACUUCAUCGCUUCCGGUUGCCCUUAUUAGUAAGGCCUGCCAAUCUGUUUUGGUUUGGUACCUACAUUAAAAUACCCAAGAGGCUUCAUUCGAAUCCACGUUUGAGGAAACUCUUGAAGCACUUGAUUGAAAACAAGGCCAUUUUAGCCCAUCAAUUUGUCUUAUUGGGCUAUUUUCUUCUUUUGAAACUGCCAUCUCCUCAUCAAAUUUAUUACUAACCUCAUUAUUAAUAUGGCCCAUCUUACUUACUAUUAUUGGCCCAAGGAUUAAUGGGAUAUUUGACUUUCCUUUUGCAAAGUAAGGAAUUUUGAAAGGAAAGCCCUUAUUUGCUCCUUGAUUCAUAGAAUAGAUUGUGACUCCCUCGUAUUACUCCCUCCAUAAUUAUUCAUGGAGUUGCCACUGGAACUGAUACUCCUAUUUCAGAUGAGUCGUUUUGAUUGGUCAAUAACUUUCACCGUGCCCUAAUUUGCCAUAUAAAAAGAAAAAAAUGAGUUUUUCGUAUUCAAAUUUGACAUAGACAAACGUACCGUUUGGGAGUGUGAGUUUUUUUUAUUCUUUUUAGUGGU